rnacentral:lncRNA from 1 species
CUUCCAUGUGGGACACGAGCCUUCAAUGCCUGAUAAAGCCUGAAAGCCACAAUCUGCCCUGGAAACCCAGCUCCACCCUGCUUCCACUACAUCAGGAGGUGAAGGAGGAAAUUGAAAGUGUGAAACACCAGUGGGAGGAAAAGGUUCCUGUAACAAAUGUGGUUAUCAAUGGGAAAGAAGCUUUCUAGAGCUUAUAUAUGGGGCCGAGUCAUGCACACUUCAUCAUACUCACCAGGGGAUGACCCAGACCAUCAUUCUUCUCUGGUCUGCCACCUUCAUCCUCCACUUGCAGCCUCCUUUGCAGUGACCAUACAGGUGCAGAGCAUGAGCAGGAUGCACAGGGGUUUAUGUGGUCAGGCCUGCCUGGAGUUGGCUCAUAGCAUUUCUGCUUCCAUUCUUAGGUCUGAAAUCCAGGUCACAGAGCCCUAACAUAACUACAAAGGAUCCUGAAAAGUGUUGUAUUCCAGUGUGCCUUGGA